UCAUUUCAAGCAGACGCCAAGCAUCAAUAGCGUGGUCUGUGCUAUGUGAUUGCAUUGUUACUGCUGGAGUGAGCAAUUUCAGAUUGCGUCAUGAUGGCGUGCCCCGUUAGCGUCGUGAUCGGCGUGCCCUGUUAGCGUCAUGGUUGGCGUGCCCUGUGUUAGCGUCAUGAUUGGCGUGCCCUGUGUUAACACGAUAUGUUUUAUUUAUUCGUGUGCUGUGAUUUCAACACCAGCAUUGGUCAGAGGAGACUCGCAAGCAGCAAGGAAAGGAGGCUGCUCUUCAUCGGCCAGAAGUUUGAUACAAAGGAGUACACAAGUUGAUUUCAUUACUUAUAAGCAAAGUCAAUUUUUUGGAUAUAGAUGGGCAGCAAUUUUAUCGAGCCAUGACAUCUGACCAAACCUAAGUUGCCUCUAGGAAUUAUGAAUGUCAAAUUUGGGACACAUCUGUGCAGUCUUUUUAUCGAGCUCUGACAUCUGAUUGCUAUGCUAUGGUAUGCUUCUGUUGCUAUACUCCAUGUCUUUGGUGCCCUCUCCCUCUAUGAUAAGCCAAAGCUAAGCUACGUAAACAAGUUGAUUGCAUUAUUUGUCACACAACAACACAAUGAUUUAAAUUGAU
rnacentral:lncRNA from 1 species